rnacentral:rRNA from 1 species
GUGGAUUAGAUACCCCGGUAGUCCUAGCCGUAAACGGUGCACGUUUGCUGUAAAAGGAAUCGACCCCUUUUGUGGCGUAGCUAACGCGUUAAACGUGCCGCCUGGGAAGUACGGUCGCAAGAUUAAAACUCAAAGAAAUUGACGGGGGCCUGCACAAGCGGUGGAGUAUGUGGCUCAAUUCGAUGCAACGCGAAGAACCUUACCUGGCCUUGACAUGCAUAUAGUAGAAGGGUGAAAGCCUGACGAGGUAGCAAUACCAGUAUGCACAGGUGCUGCACGGCCGUCGACAACU